GAUGAACGCUGGCGGCGUGCCUAAUACAUGCAAGUCGAGCGAACGGACGAGAAGCUUGCUUCUCUGAUGUUAGCGGCGGACGGGUGAGUAACACGUGGAUAACCUACCUAUAAGACUGGGAUAACUUCGGGAAACCGGAGCUAAUACCGGAUAAUAUUUUGAACCGCAUGGUUCAAAAGUGAAAGACGGUCUUGCUGUCACUUAUAGAUGGAUCCGCGCUGCAUUAGCUAGUUGGUAAGGUAACGGCUUACCAAGGCAACGAUGCAUAGCCGACCUGAGAGGGUGAUCGGCCACCCUGGAACUGAGACACGGUCCAGACUCCGACGGGAGGCAGCAGUAGGGAAUCUUCCGCAAUGGGCGAGAGCCUGACGGAGCAACGCCGCGUGAGUGAUGAAGGUCUUCGGAUCGUAAAACUCUGUUAUUAGUGAAGAACAUAUGUGUAAGUAACUGUGCACAUCUUGACGGUACCUAAUCAGAAAGCCACGGCUAACUACGUG
rnacentral:rRNA from 1 species